UAUAGAGUGAAGCAGCAAGGUGACUUCAAGGACUACAAGGCAUGAGCUGUAGUAUGCAGAAACUAAAACACCUCAGCCUACAGAAUAUGACUUCACUCAUAAGGAUGAAACAGACACCAACACAUUGGUCAAAUAACACAGCGCUGAGUAACUGGAACUUCCACUGGGAGCCUGGAAAGCGAAAAACAGUUACUAACAGUCUUUAAAACAGCAUUAAAGAAAAAUCUUCAGAAGGAGACAAGGGGAAAUCUCUGGCAAAGCUACAUGAUGAGCUGAGCAAAAUCUAUUUGUCUCCAAGUGAUGGCGCUAUUAGAGUUACUGAACAGACUUCUGGACACUAAUCGCUGCUUUAUGCUACAGGAGUCUUGAAUCAGGAGGGAUCACCAAAAAAAAUCCCCACCAAACCAGUCAUUGGUUGAGACUUUGAAACAAGAUUGUGUUUUGCAUGAGUGCCGUGUAUUGUGGAAAAUGAAGACAAAACGGACAUAGUUUCCUUACCUUAUUUUACACAAUGCAAAAUGCAAUAGCCAGAAUCUUCUGUUGUGCCCCUGAUUCUCUUGGCAAAGCUAAGGGUAGGCAGCCAUUUGCAAAUAUCCAGUCAUAGGGUCAGUUUGGCCCCAACAUGGUUUAGAGCAGUUCCAGCUUGCUAUGACCUCAAGGGCCCAACCAGAAUUCCCAAGACAUACCACACUUUGUCCUGUCCUUAUUGCUCAGCUUCACCCCAACCCUCUACUCUGGGAAUGGCAUGAGAAGAAGCUGGCUGUGUCAGUUAUACACCACACUGGGACAAUUCCCAAAUGGGAAGAUCUGGCUACUUUGCUCUCUACACUACAGCAGGAGUGUCAGAGGAUCAGAGCAGAGCUUGGAACUGAGCCCUAUAUGUCCAAGAAAGUUCAAAAAUGA